UGCAAAAGCUCCACAUGGUCUGGUGUAAGACUAGUAAGACUGGAGAAUGUUCUGGAAGACCCCUGGCAUACACUGGUGUCAUGAAUACACCCUCAUGUCUGCAGUAACUUUGUCUUCUCCUCCUCACCCUGUUCCUCUAAUCCUUUAAUCAUUCUUGUAGCAUUUGUCUGCGUUCAAAUACAUCAAACACCCUUCUUUCACCGUGGGCAGUUUUGGAAAGUGGUUCAAAAGGCUUGAUCCCUGCAGAAGAGGAGGAUGCAAAUCCUGCUCAUGUGAGUUUGGUAUUGCCUGUGUUUUGUGGAAGGGAAGGCCAGAGGUUAUCUGCUGUUUGUAGCCAUUACGGAAGAUGCCUCUUCAGUCUUUUGCUGGAGUUGGUCACUAGUUUGCUCUAUUUCUGCAAACGGAGAGGGAUGUUACCUGCUCUAGUAGAUACUGAGGCCUCAUCUGCACUAUAUUUCUGAAAUAGUUCAAAAUGAAGAAUGCUGGUACUCGGGUUUUUUGAAAAUGAAAAGAACUUUAGGUAGGAAUUCUGUUUUGAAAACAUAGGUUCUGAGUGGCAAAAUAACUGAAAUCAAGGACAGAAAUUUUGGAAUUUUUGUUCAAACCUUUCAAAACUACUUAAAUAUGCAUAGGCGAAUUCUCAACAGAACAUCUAGUACAGAAGAGAAAUCACUAUAUAUUAGAACAUGAUAAAUUUUCCAACAUCACUUAUUACUACCUUUUAUUAUGUACAGCUUCCUAACAGAUCUCCAGUCAACAACAGCCUGAACUACUUAUACUUCUGCAAUUGUUCCCAUGUGGAAUUCUACUGAUUGCAGAACAGUUAAUGACGAUCUACUAAUUACGUAAGUAACUGUCAGACUUUAUAUCAUUGGAUGUGAAAUCAGAUCCAUAAAAUCUAUUGUCUACAGACCUUUAAAGAUGAGGCAGAGCAUUACCCACUAUUGGUAACACCAGCCUGUAGAUACAGUGGGUGAGACCUAUCUAAGCUAGACGUGUCGCUUAGAAGUCUAACUUUGAGCUAGUCUAGCCUCUGCUCCCUCUGUAGUCCACAGAGAGGAACAGACAUCUCAAGGGACAAAUUAGCCUCCCUGUAGCACAAGCACCUGAACUGAGCCCAUUCCUGCGUAAUAGUUACUCACAUAAUUAACUGUCUAGUCAUUAACUGUCACACAUAGUGGGACUCCACAUGAGACUAAUUAUACAUGCAGAAAUAAUGUUUGGGAUCGGGGUCUUGCUAGAUUGUGUUCUGCAAACAGAUUCCUAAAUUAGGAUAAGAGGUAUUGGAUAGACCAGCCCUGGGAUGCAUGCAGUCCUCUCUGCAGAGCACAAGGAAAGCCUCAGCACAGAGCGGGCAUCUGCUAGAUGCAUUAGAUGUCUGAAGUUUGGCGAGAUGAAUUCCAUUUGCUAUUAGUGUCUUACGUUUCAAUCCCUAAUAAAUGCUAGACCACUGACAACCCAUUCACAGAGUCACUCCUUUCAAAUACUUUGGUCCUAGACUGAAGUAGUUCCCAAACAACAGCAACACUAUCUCAAACCUGUCUUCCUAAACUUAAUCUUCGGUUAUUUUCAUCUGGAAGAAUAAUGUCAAAGCAAAAUAAACAGUGAGGAAAAGCUCAAAUGAAAAUCUGUUAAAUACUUAAACUUCUUACAAUUACUAACUAAAGAUAACUGGAGGAUUAGGAAAUACAGGAAGCACUGAGGCCAUCAUGCUCAAUAUUUAGCCUGUAAAGUGUUUAAACGAUAAAGCAACGUAUAAACAGUCUUACAGCCACCCUCUGCUGGUGGAGACCCCCAAGUACAGUGGGCUGGCAGCUGGAGCAGCCUCUCCAAUUUCCAGGCUAGCAGAGAUCAACACCUCUGAUAAGCAUUUUGCAGCACCACAUGGUAUUCGGAUACACCGAGGACUUCAGUUGGAGGGGUGACCUGGGCGGCGGGGAGCUUGGGAGACUGCAAGCCCCUCCCUGCCCAUCAGCAUUACAGGGUGCCAGGGGUUCUGCAACAGGGGAACCCUGCCAUUCCCUCACCCCACUUUGCAGCUGCGUUCAGCCUAGGUUUAAACUCAGCCACAUCCCUAGGAGAGUCUGCAAUGGGGGAAGAAGAUACGAAGAGAAGGAUUUGUGCCUGUUAACACGAUCCAUAUUCUGCUUGCUGUUCUGUAGGCAAAACAGGUGGGCUAGGACACCACAAACCCUGCCUGAAGGUAGACUUUAAAAGCACAUGCAUACAUUCACUUUAUUUAAAAUAAAAUGCAAAUCUAAUGUUCCUGUUUUGAAAAUCAGGGCUCCUCUUAUGAUGUUUACUGUUUUCUAAAGAAGCAACACAAAGCCACUUUAUGCCUUGGACUUUGAAAAGUGAGCAUAUUCAGUGAUGCCACAAAACUGGAUAGGUGGAUGGACACGAGUAGUUAAAACUGAAUAUUACAAGAAAGUUCAAGAAGUUCUAUUUUAUCUACAGAUGGCUUCCAAGAUAAUCCUUAUUAAAGUGGAGUGGCAGCCAGCUACAUUUAUUAGUGCAUUAAAAUGGGGGGGGAACCCUACAGAAGUACUGUUAAAUGUUUGAAUCUCCUCUUUAAAAUGUUGUCAACUAGUUUUCAAAACAUUUUAGACAAAUACUGUAGUCAUAACAUUGUAAGAAAGGCUGGGUUUGCUCACCCUGCUGUAAAGUUUUUGCACUACUGUGAGUGGUGACUGGUUGGUUCCCAGCAAUACCAGGGUUCUGCAUCUUCACUGGGUAUCUGCAAAACGGCACUUCUGAGGUAUUUGAGGCAAUUGGCUUAUCCUCAGGUGUCAUCGGUUUAGGAAAUGGAAGGUGCUACUUUGAAUUUUUAAAAUGCAAAGGUUAAAAAAUAUGAAACUCGGCACAUAAAGAGCAUUUUUCAUCUACCUUUUAAGUGUUAUUUGCCCCCUCAGAGAUUCAGUGGGAACCAGACAGAAGAUUGUCCCCCAGAGAUAAGAGAUGCCAAAGCAGAGUAACAGCAGCCAGAUAUUCACCCAGAUGUGCUCCAGUGCAAAACAUGGUACUGAGGUGUAAACAAUUUGCCUGCUGAAUGUACCAGGAGAUGAUCCAGGUCCUCUGAAGUUUUUACUCAAUAAGUCUUGUGCUUUAAGACCCUAUUUUAAUAUUUGUUAUUCAGAUAUUCCUGACUUAUCUAAUGUGGAUACAUGAAGCUGUAACAGAAAACAUGAAAGAAAUGCCUAUGAAGAAAUUUCAUUUAUAUGCCUCUGCAUAAAAAUAGUCAUAUUUGUGCAAAGUGGAGAAAUGUAAGUUGCACAGAAUAUGUAGGGAUUUGCUGGGGUUUAUGUAGCUGAAACAUCUAGUUAAAAAAAAAAAAAAAAAA